UGAGCCCACAGCGUGCCCAAACUGGCUGGCACUUCCUGGGACCCAGGGGUGAGGAAUGCCACAGGAAGCAGGUGAUAGACAGAUGAAGGUCACAAAGGACAGCCAACUAAGAUGGGAAGAUUCAAGUGGUGAACAUUCUACAGAAAAGUUACAAAGCAAGACGAAGUGAUAUCCAGAGCACAAACGCUGAAGCCAGACUACUACCUGGAUUCAAAUCUCUGCUGGGUCAUCUACUGGCUGUGUGACUUGCAAAGUCCUUCUUAACGAAGAGUCGUUGAAGGAUGAAGCCUAUGCUUACUCACCAUGGAACAGGCUCGCUCGCCAGCUUCAGUUCAUGUUACUUCUUACGUUUUGGCUGAUAGGACAAGGGAAGCCUCUCAGGAGACAAUUUAAAUGGUGCUUUAAGAAAUCCUCAGCCAAUAAAAAGCUGCUUACAGAGUUAUAAAGCCUCUCUGUAUCAGUGACUUUAACCCCUUAAUCUCAGCUGUCCAAUUACAGGUUUACAAACCCUUGGGGAAACUACUGUAAUAAGUAAACUGAAGAGGAAUGGCCUCAUUGAGUGUGUGCUAAAAUGCCCAAGGCUGGUAGUAGGAAAAAAGAGCUGCUUACCAGUUCUACCAUAAAAUCAGUUCCCCAAGUAGAAAGAAUAGUUCCCUCAAGACUUGGCCUAUGGACUGCCUUUCACGGAGUAGUUCAUAUUUAUAAGCUCAUUUGUCUGGAAAUAAAUCUCUUUAACACACUCAACUAACUCCAAGAGGUGGGUCCCAAGAGAACCAAUCUUCCUAAAGAAACUGUCUCAAGAAGGUUUUAGCAGCAGAAUUUUCAAUCCUGGAAUUUCCACCUUCAGCAAUAGACAGAGUACAUGGAGUUUAAGAAACUGCUACAUUGAAUCCGGACACCUCAGACAAUCUUGAUGUAUGUACCUGGCUAAGAAGAUAGCAUUGGAAAGAAACAGGUUUUUGUUAUUCAGGCCUGAAGCUCAGUAAUGCUCCAUGUGACCUGAGAUUGAUCUGGACGGCAGCUGCGCUUUUCAUCUGCCACAAUUUCUUCCCAUGCAUCCAGACAAGAGGGCAAGUGAUCUAGAAAAUGCGAGAUUUUCUUCCCUGCCUCCUCCUCCCUUCCCUCCCUUUCCCCACCCCCUCUCUCCCUGCCUCCCUUCCUUCCUUCCUUUUCAUCUCUUGAGGGUAAAAAAGGGCAUCCCACAAAAGUUAAAAUGAAGCUUUAGGAGAGCGCUGUUCCUUGGUUUUUUAUUGUUUUUGGUGGGAGCUUAUACAA